GAUGAACGCUGGCGGCGUGCCUAAUACAUGCAAGUCGAACGGGGAGUAGCAAUACUCUUAGUGGCGAACGGGUGAGUAACGCGUUGGUACCUGCCCCGAAGCGGGGGAUAACGGACCGAAAGGUCCGCUAAUACCCCAUGUGCUCGGUAACGAGUAAAGGUGAAAACCACUUUGGGAGGGGCCUGCGUCCCAUCAGCUAGUUGGUAAGGUAACGGCUUACCAAGGCGAUGACGGGUAGGGGACCUGAGAGGGUGGCCCCCCACAAUGGAACUGAAACACGGUCCAUACACCUACGGGUGGCAGUAGUAGGGAAUAUUGGUAAUGGGCGCAAGCCUGAACCAGCAACGCCGCGUGUGCGAUGACGGCCUUCGGGUUGUAAAGCACUUUUGACUGGGACGAGGAAGGACGGUACCGGUCGAAUCAGCCUCGGCUAACUACGUG
rnacentral:rRNA from 1 species